UACGUAGGGCGCAAGCGUUAUCCGGAAUUACUGGGCGUAAAGCGUGCGCAGGCGGUUUUGUAAGCCAGAUGUGAAAUCCCCGGGCUUAACCUGGGAAUGGCAUUUGGGACUGCAAGGCUGGAGUGCGGCAGAGGAGACUGGAAUUCCUGGUGUAGCAGUGAAAUGCGUAGAUAUCAGGAGGAACACCGAUGGCGAAGGCAGGUCUCUGGGCUGACACUGACGCUCAUGCACGAAAGCGUGGGGAGCAAACAGG
rnacentral:rRNA from 1 species